GUGCUCCUUUCAGCAGCAUAUAUACUAAAAUUGGAAUGAUACAGAGAAGAUUAGCAUGGCCCCUGAAUUAAAAAAAAAAACAAAAACCUUUGGAAUUACAU
rnacentral:snRNA from 1 species